rnacentral:lncRNA from 1 species
AUGGAGGAGGAGGAGGAAGAGGAGGGUCCUCGUGCUGCAGAGCGAGAUGGGACGGGCGCCAGCGAGGGACAGCGGCCAGAUGGGAGCAGAGGGACAGGAAGAAGGAGACAAAGCUGCUUUGUGCAGGGCACUCACCCCACCUCCUCCCAAGGUCCCACCCCCGGCUGGAUGCGCAGCCCCGGGAUGGCAGAGGGAGCACACGGAGCCUCUCCGAGCGCAGCCGCUGUCGGGAGGGCACCGCUGGCCCUGCCCCGCGCCGGGAGGGGUGGCAGGGCUGACCUGGCACAGGGGACACCCAGCCCUGGGCUCGUUCAGCUUUUUGUUAAGAGCUUCCAACCCACGGUGUGAUAAUGAGCCCCAGGAAUGCCCCAAAUGGUAUGGAAAAAAAUGGAAUUAUUAUUAUUACUUUUGAGCUCUUACUGUUAUUGACUAUAAAAGUUUGGGGUUAUUGAAUAUUAAAUGUUAUUGAAUAUAAAAUCUGCUCUGAAUGUGUCCCUGUGCAUGGUGGGGGGUUGGGACAAGGUGGGCUUUAAGGUCUUCCCCAACCCAAACCUUUCUGUGACUCUGUGCAAAGUGCAUUGAAACAAAAAGCAUCAAAUGUUCUGUGUGAGCCCAGGAGGGACCGGCUGUGCAGAGGUUCCUGCAGGAAAUGGUGACCCCAGCACGUCCCCAGACCCUGCUGCCACAGCUCUGCCCCUGGGGGGCUGCCCCACGUCAGAGGGUGCCACCACCUUCCCUCCACGAGCAUUCCAGUCACCCAGCUCCUUCUCUGCCUCCUCCUGCAGGGAUGUGCCAGCCCCAGGUGAUGCUGGGCUCCUACAGAUCCCUCCAUUACCUCGAUGUUAUAAAUAUUUUAAAUUAAAGCAAGAAAAGGACUCCAAACGUGUAAGGCACCAGCUGGGGCAGAGCUGUUCCCAUGGUUAACUCCAGCAGGAGCCAGAACCCUGCGAGACCAGGCCUGGGGUCCCCGGCUGCCAGCCCAGCACUGAGUGAUGUGUUUGGCUGUGGCUUUACUCUGUCCCUGCCCUUCUGCUCCCAGAGCCACAGAUGAGGUUCCUCCCCUGGGCUGAGGCCUUUGACCCUUCAGCUCUCGGCAGGGACAGACCCAGGAUGGGACAGGAGAGCUAAAGCAGCACAAACCCUGCCACAAACAGCCUCUAGAGCCAGACGGAGAAUAAACUACCCUUCACAAGGUUCCA